UACGAAGGGUGCAAGCGUUAGUCGGAUUUACUGGGCGUAAAGGGCGCGUAGGCGGCCAGCACAAGUCAGUUGUGAAAUCUCCGAGCUUAACUCGGAAAGGUCAACUGAUACUGUGCGGCUAGAGUGCGGAAGGGGCAACUGGAAUUCUUGGUGUAGCGGUGAAAUGCGUAGAUAUCAAGAGGAACACCUGCGGCGAAGGCGGGUUGCUGGGCCGACACUGACGCUGAUGCGCGAAAGCUAGGGGAGCGAACGGG
rnacentral:rRNA from 1 species